GAUGAACGCUAGCGACAGGCCUAACACAUGCAAGUCGAGGGGCAGCACGAAGUAAGCUUGCUUACUUUGGUGGCGACCGGCGCACGGGUGCGUAACAGGUGUGCAAUCUGUCCAUAAUCGGGGAAUAGCCCAGCGAAAGUUGGAUUAAUGCUCCCUGUGAGCGAGGGAGGCAUCUCCUUUGUUUGAAACGUAAGGAUUAUGGGUGAGCACGCUUCUGAUUAGGUAGUUGGUGAGGUAACGGCUCACCAAGCCGACGAUCAGUAGGGGUUCUGAGAGGAAGGUCCCCCACAUUGGAACUGAGACACGGUCCAAACUCCUACGGGAGGCAGCAGUGAGGAAUAUUGGUCAAUGGACGAAAGUCUGAACCAGCCAAGUCGCGUGAAGGAUGAAGGUUCUAUGGAUUGUAAACUUCUUUUGUCUGAGGGUAAAAAAGCGGACGUGUCCGUUCUUGCAAGUAUCAGACGAAUAAGCAUCGGCUAACUCCGUGCCAGCCGCCGCGGUAAGAC
rnacentral:rRNA from 1 species